ACCCAAAACCCUUAAACCUAAACACUAAACCCUAAACCAUAGACCCCAACUUUAAAACCUAAAUCCUACUUUAGCUUCCGAAAUCCGGUUGCGGUUCUAGUUCUUAUACUCAUUGAUACACA
rnacentral:sRNA from 1 species